rnacentral:rRNA from 1 species
UACGUAGGGUGCAAGCGUUGUCCGGAAUUAUUGGGCGUAAAGAGCUCGUAGGCGGUCUGUCGCGUCUGCUGUGAAAACUCGGGGCUUAACCCCGGGCCUGCAGUGGGUACGGGCAGACUAGAGUGCGGUAGGGGAGACUGGAAUUCCUGGUGUAGCGGUGAAAUGCGCAGAUAUCAGGAGGAACACCGGUGGCGAAGGCGGCAUUCUGGACCGAAACUGACGCUGAGGCGCGAAAGCCAGGGGAGCAAACGGG